rnacentral:tRNA from 1 species
GGGCGCAUAGCUCAGCGGUAGAGCGCUUGAUUCACAUUCAAGAGGCCUCUGGUCCGAAUCCAGAUGCGCCCA